UACGUAGGUGGCAAGCGUUGUCCGGAUUUAUUGGGUUUAAAGGGUGCGUAGGCGGCCUUAUAAGUCAGUGCUGAAAUAUCCCGGCUUAACCGGGAGGGUGGCAUUGAUACUGUAGGGCUUGAGCGUAGUCGAGGUAGGCGGAAUUGACGGUGUAGCGGUGAAAUGCUUAGAUAUCGUCAAGGACACCGAUAGUGUAGACAGCUUACUAGACUUCAACUGACGCUGAGGCACGAAAGUGUGGGGAUCAAACAGG
rnacentral:rRNA from 1 species